UACGUAGGGCGCAAGCGUUGUCCGGAAUUAUUGGGCGUAAAGAGCUCGUAGGCGGUUUGUCGCGUCUGCUGUGAAAUCCCGAGGCUCAACUUCGGAAUUGCAGUGGGUACGGGCAGACUAGAGUGUGGUAGGGGAGACUGGAAUUUCUGGUGUAGCGGUGGAAUGCGCAGAUAUCAGGAGGAACACCAAUGGCGAAGGCAGGUCUCUGGGCCACAACUGACGCUGAGGAGCGAAAGCAUGGGGAGCGAACAGG
rnacentral:rRNA from 1 species